GCCGUGAUAGCGCAGCGGCAAGUGAGAUGGACUCACGUUCCACUAGUCGCGGGUUCGAUUCCCGGCUCAGGCCG
rfam:Nippostrongylus brasiliensis genome assembly, scaffold: NBR_scaffold0000015